UCCCCAAGCCUGACCCACUGAAGUGCUUA
rnacentral:piRNA from 1 species